CAGCCGCCGCGGUAAUACGUAGGGUGCAAGCGUUAAUCGGAAUUACUGGGCGUAAAGCGUGCGUAGGCGGUUUGUUAAGUCUGCUGUGAAAUCCCCGGGCUCAACCCGGGAAUGGCAGUGGAUACUGGCAAGCUAGAGUGUGUCAGAGGAUGGUGGAAUUCCCGGUGUAGCGGUGAAAUGCGUAGAGAUCGGGAGGAACAUCAGUGGCGAAGGCGGCCAUCUGGGACAACACUGACGCUGAGGCACGAAAGCGUGGGGAGCAAACAGGAUUAGAUACCCCAGUAGUCCCUGUCUCUUAUAC
rnacentral:rRNA from 1 species